AUUACGUCACUACUAGUUGCCAUUGGAAACCGGCAGAUUUGACACUGACAGCUCUGUCACAGCUGGCUCGUUGACAUCUGGAAGCGAAACAACCGACUGAGGGCUUGAAGAAUAAGAUUUGCGGUGGGUUUACUGUCCCAGCAACAAUGGCAAAGGACAUGGACAUCUGUAGUCCUCAUCUCUUGGACCUCCCUUGGGAAGAUGUGCUGGUUCCACACAUCCUAUCAUAUCUACCCCUGCGACAUGUCUUAACCCUCCAAAGAGUCAGCAAACCGUUUCAGUCGUUAGUCCACCUGUAUCUGACCAACUGCCGCAGC